rnacentral:rRNA from 1 species
GACGAACGCUGGCGGCGUGCUUAACACAUGCAAGUCGAACGGAAAGGCCCUGCUUUUGUGGGUUGCUCGAUUGGCGAACGGGUGAGUAACACGUGAGUAACCUGCCCUUGACUUUGGGAUAACUUCAGGAAACUGGGGCUAAUACCGGAUAUGAUCUCCUGCUGCAUGGUGGGGGUUAGAAAGUUUCGGCGUUUGGGGAUGUACUCGCUGCUUAUCAGCUUGUUUGUGGGGUAGUGGCUUACCAAGGCUUUGACGGGUAGCCGGCCUGAGAGGGUGACCGGCCACAUUGGGACUGAGAGACGGCCCAGACUGCUACGGGAGGCGGCAGUGGGGAAUAUUGCACAAUGGGCGGAAGCCUGAUGCAGAAACGCCGCGUGCGGGAUGACGGCCUUCGGGUUGUAAACAGAUUUCGCCUGUGACGAAGCGUGAGUGACGGUAAUGGGUAAAGAAGCACCGGCUAACUACGUG